rnacentral:rRNA from 1 species
UAGGGAAUCUUCCGCAAUGGACGCAAGUCUGACGGAGCAACGCCGCGUGAGUGAAGAAGGAUUUCGGUUCGUAAAACUCUGUUGUUAGAGAAGAACAGCGCAUAGAGUAACUGUUAUGCGUGUGACGGUAUCUAACCAGAAAGCCACGGCUAACUACGUGCCAGCAGCCGCGGUAAUACGUAGGUGGCAAGCGUUGUCCGGAUUUAUUGGGCGUAAAGCGAGCGCAGGCGGUCAAUUAAGUCUGAUGUGAAAGCCCCCGGCUCAACCGGGGAGGGUCAGUGGAAACUGGUUGACUUGAGUGCAGAAGAGGAGGGUGGAAUUCCAGGUGUAGCGGUGAAAUGCGUAGAUAUAUGGAGGAACACCAGUGGCGAAGGCGACUCUCUGGGCUGUAACUGACGCUGAGGCUCGAAAGCGUGGGGAGCAAACAGG